GUGGGGAAUUUUGGACAAUGGGCGCAAGCCUGAUCCAGCAAUGCCGCGUGCAGGAAGAAGGCCUUCGGGUUGUAAACUGCUUUUGUACGGAACGAAACGGUCCGGGUUAAUACCCUGGGCUAAUGACGGUACCGUAAGAAUAAGCACCGGCUAACUACGUGCCAGCAGCCGCGGUAAUACGUAGGGUGCAAGCGUUAAUCGGAAUUACUGGGCGUAAAGCGUGCGCAGGCGGUUUUGUAAGACAGGCGUGAAAUCCCCGGGCUCAACCUGGGAAUUGCGGUUGUGACUGGAAGGCUGGAGUGCGGCAGAGGGGGAUGGAAUUCCGCGUGUAGCAGUGAAAUGCGUAGAUAUGCGGAGGAACACCGAUGGCGAAGGCAAUCCCCUGGGCCUGCACUGACGCUCAUGCACGAAAGCGUGGGGAGCAAACAGGAUUAGAUACCCGGGUAGUCC
rnacentral:rRNA from 1 species